rnacentral:rRNA from 1 species
UACGUAGGGUGCAAGCGUUAAUCGGAAUUACUGGGCGUAAAGCGUGCGCAGGCGGUUUUGUAAGUCUGUCGUGAAAAUCCCCCGGGCUCAACCUGGGAAUUGCGAUGGAGACUGCAAGGCUAGAAUCUGGCAGAGGGGGGUAGAAUUCCACGUGUAGCAGUGAAAUGCGUAGAGAUGUGGAGGAACACCGAUGGCGAAGGCAGCCCCCUGGGUCAAGAUUGACGCUCAUGC